CAGUGUAAGACUAGCGCGCCAAAGACAAAACGGAAAAACAACAGCUUCUUCGAAAAAGAAAUGUUAUGUAGACAAAACGAAAAUAAGAUAAAAGGAAAACGAACUUUCAAAGAUGGCGGAAGGCGAAGUUGGAAAUAAACAGCCAAACAGGCCUCUACUACCCAGAAAGAACUAUGCAAUGGCAACACCGUCCGAAGAUGAUACUCCACGUACACUGAUUCAAGGUCUUCUAGAAGCUACAUCUGUCAGCCAGAGCACCYKUCUGGUUGCUAAGAAAAGGCCAAGGAUAACAAAAAGUCCCUCACUAUCACUCCCACAGAAAAGAAGAUCUUUGAGAAAAUCCAUAGGUGACAAUGYAACUCCAAGAACACUUAUAAAGAACAUCUUAA